CCAGACCCUAUCAAGCUUGCUCCAUCCGGAUCAUUACAGUCAUGCCUGUGCACCAAACAAGUGUUCAGUGGAAAUCACACGUAUGAGAAGGAAGUCAAUGACCCUCCUGCUAAGGAGAGUAGCAGCCAACUGGCAGUCUCAUCAAGCCCAUCGCAGUUCCUUCUAAAAUUACAUAACCUGGGAAUACACGUACCACAGCAGUCAGUGCUGUGAACAGAAUAAAGUAGGUGAGACAGCAGGAGCUGUAUCUACUGACAAAGAGAAGCAGAGGUAAAUGCUCAAAGAGAUUUGUCUAGAAGAUGAAUCAUAGAGCAUGGAUUGGAAAGAGGAGCAGCAGCAGAAAUAUUCAGUACUCGGAAAAUAUCUAGAGGUGACAUUAGAAAUAAUCAGAGAAGCACAUAGCCAUGUAGCUAAACAAGGAAGCAAUGGGGAACUGGAAGAUAGGUAGGAGUAAAACAGGGGAGGGAGGUGCCUGGGGAUAGGUAAGUGGAAGAUGGGAACAUCCAGGUCAUUUUGGGAGCAGUAGGUAGCCAAGAUUAUGAAUAGCAGGCUGAGUUACUGGGGAAUAUGAAUAAGGGUCUUUUGACAAAACAUUGUACUUGGCAGCAUUAUGCGUUUAGGAACUUAUGUUUUUACAAGCUCUGGAAGUGUCAGAUCAGCAUUUGAAGACAAAAGAAUUACAGGUUACAUAAUGUAGUGAUAAUAUGUGUACAAAUUAUGUGUAAUGGCAUCUGCUGCUACUGUUCCAGAUCAAGGCCUCUGAUAUUUGCUGUUUAUUAGAAAAGAUUUAAAUUGUGACCCAAAUAUACACUGUUAAAAAUGCACAUGGCAAAUAAAAUAGCCUGCAACUGUUCAUUUUAAAUCUUAGAUUUUCAUGAUCAGUUCUUUGUGGGCUGGAGUGUGAUCUGUUAACAAUUGACAGUUAAGUGUUGUAACUGGGGGCAAAAAAUGGUGAACAGAAUUUCAUUACUGUGAAAUGAUAGAAACGAAUAGCUUGCUAUUCAGAUUACAUUACUGGAGAACCAGCAUGGGUUUUUGGCCUUUUAAAAGGCUGUUAUUUUUUCUCCAACAAGUUAUCUCCUAAGUAAAGAUAUUUUGUAAUUUGGAAGAAAAGAUGUGGUCAGAAGUCAUUGUGAUGCGAAAAGUGCAAAAUAAAC
ensembl:lncRNA